ACUCUGCAGCCUCGUUCUCCUCUCCCGGCCUAGCUUUUAGGAAGGGAAGGAUCCAGGAGAGCCAUCUAGUGAGAAGAGCAUUACCACUAAAACUGUAGUGCGUUGGAGCGUCAGAGAAAGAUCUUAAGGACUGUGUCCAGGCCAGUUUACUCUCUUUGUCCUCUGGGAAAAUUGCUCCAGCAGAGGACCUGACAGGAGAAUGCGGAGACCGUUGUUUGCACCACUUUACAGAUUUGUGUAAGACUAUUUGGGGACUUUAAGGACUCCAGCGGGAGGAGAAGAGGCCAAGAACCUCCCGCAGUGGAUGCAGGUGCGAUUCUGGGAAGGCAGCUGCAACUUUUCUCUUUUUAUUUCUUACAGAUUUGUGUGACCAAAGGGGCAUCACCGGCCUCCUGGUUUCUGGGCAGAUAAAAAGUGGAAAACCCGGAAGGUUUUCACACUUCUGGCUUCCCGGAAACACGGGAGGAAAUCAAGGGCAGCACUCGCCCGAGCAUGGCUCUGCAUUAGACUGACGACCUUGGACUGAAACUGCCCUGUGUCCAAACAAGGGCGAAGACAUGAUCAGCCCUCUGGUUAUUUUCACCCAUGUGAAGAGGCACUUGGCAUCUUGGAUUCACACCAGCCCUGGCCAUGGGAAGAAGCCGUGUGUUGAUUGAAGCAGUCUGAGACCGG
rnacentral:lncRNA from 1 species